UAAGCGGAGGAAAGAAACUAACAAGGAUUCCCCUAGUACUGCGAGUGAAGCGGGAAAAGCUCAAAUUUAAAAUCUGGUGGUCUUUGGCCAUCCGAGUUGUAAUCUAGAGAAGCGUCUUCCGCGCUGGACCGUGCACAAGUCUCCUGGAACGGAGCGUCGUAGAGGGUGAGAAUCCCGUCUUUGGCAUGGACACACCAGGGCUUUUGUGAUGCGCUCUCGAAGAGUCGAGUUGUUUGGGAAUGCAGCUCAAAAUGGGUGGUGAACUCCAUCUAAAGCUAAAUAUUGGCGAGAGACCGAUAGCGAACAAGUACCGUGAGGGAAAGAUGAAAAGCACUUUGGAAAGAGAGUGAAACAGUACGUGAAAUUGUUGAAAGGGAAACGCUUGAAGUCAGUCGCGUCGACCGAGACUCAGCCUCGCCUCGGCUUGGUGUACUUCUCGGCCCGACGGGUCAGCAUCAAUUUCGCCUCUUGGAUAAUGGCGAGGGAAACGUGACACCUUUACGGUGUGUUAUAGUCUCUCGUCGCAUGCAAGGGUCGGGAUUGAGGAACUCAGCACGCGCCUUUGGGCGUCGGGGCUUUGCCUACGAUACGUGCUUAGGAUGUUGGCGUAAUGGCUUUAAACGACC
rnacentral:rRNA from 1 species